CCUAAUGUAAUUCUCUAACUGCAAAGGCAACAGGGGCCAGCCAGCCUGACUUCCACCUUCUCCAUCUCUGCCAAGCAAAGGGUGGGCCUAGAUCCAGAGAUCAGAGCUCUGCAAUAACCUGGAAAACCAUCAACCUGCAAUCAUCAUAAAAACCAGCAGUCUGGAAGCCAGAAGAGCAGCAGAGCAAGGGGCAGAUAAAAUUUCCUCAUGUCAGUAUCUUCCACGCAUUGUUUGC